rnacentral:lncRNA from 1 species
GUUUAUAGUAAGAUUGGGAAAUGUUCUUAUCUCAUGACUGUUAAACAUAUUAAACUUACUUUAAUAUAGAACAAAUCUUUAGAAAAGAAUUUGAAUGAACAGUGUUUGCAAAGAAUUAUGUGGUUACGUACAAGUGUCACAUUUUGUAAAAGUAAAACUGAUGUAAUAAAAAAAAAUAUUCAUGAAACAUGAGGGGGACCUGUUU